UUUAGGAGGGGCGAAGCUCCUCUUAUUGUGAGGGCGAGUUAUAUAACACCAUAGGACUGGCCGUCCCAUAUGAAAAGAUUAUAUUAGAAUUGAAUGAAGCUUUGUUUAUAUAUUGAUAAUGACAGUAUAUAUAUCGUGUCUUGACUAAUUGCGUGCCAGCAGUCGCGGUAAUACGUAAGAGACUAGUGUUAUUCAUCUUAAUUAGGUUUAAAGGGUACCCAGACGGUCAAUAUAGCUUAUAAAAUGUUAGUACUUGACUAGAGUUUUAUGUAAGAGGGCAGUACUUGAGGAGGAGAGAUGAAAUUUCGUGAUACCAAAGGGACUCUGUAAAGGCGAAGGCAGCCCUCUAUGUAAAAACUGACGUUGAAGGACGAAGGCACAGAGAACAAACAGGAUUAGAUACCCAAGUAGUCUUUGCAGUAAAUGAUGAAUGCCAUAGGUUAGAUGGGUGGGCUCGUCUAGUUGAGUUAGUUUAGCAAACUAAUGAUCUAGACGAGCCCACCGUAUAUUUGGUCUAUAAAUGAAAGUGUAAGCAUUUCACCUCAAGAGUAAUGUGGCAA
rnacentral:rRNA from 1 species